rnacentral:rRNA from 1 species
GCUUAACGCGAAGAACCUUACCAACCCUUGACAUGCCGUGCUAGACCGAGAGAUCGGUUGUUCCUUCGGGACGCGGACACAGAUGCUGCAUGGCUGUCGUCAGCUCGUGUCGUGAGAUGUUGGGUUAAGUCCCGCAACGAGCGCAACUCUCUUUUCAGUUGCCAUCAUUCAGUUGGGAACUCUGGAAAAACUGCCAACGAUAAGUUGGAGGAAGGUGGGGAUGACGUCAAGUCCUCAUGGCUCUUACGGGUUGGGCUACACACGUGCUACAAUGGUGGUGACAGAGGGCACCGACCUCGCGAGAGGAAGGAAAUCCUUAAAAGCCAUCCCAGUUCGGAUUGUACUCUGCAACUCGAGUACAUGAAGUCGGAAUCGCUAGUAAUCGCAGAUCAGAAAGCUGCGGUGAAUACGUUCCCGGGUCUUGUACACACCG